CCUACGGGAGGCAGCAGUAGGGAAUUUUCCACAAUGGACGAAAGUCUGAUGGAGCAACGCCGCGUGAACGAUGAAGGUCUUCGGAUUGUAAAGUUCUGUUGUUAGGGACGAAUAAGUACCGUUCGAAUAGGGCGGUACCUUGACGGUACCUGACGAGAAAGCCACGGCUAACUA
rnacentral:rRNA from 1 species